rnacentral:sRNA from 1 species
GUUCUUGGCAGGGUGCAGAGAGGGGAUCAAGUAACCUAAGUGUUUCCCUCACAGACUGACAUUCAUCUCGGUAUUCAUCUUCCUUGUCAAGGAAAGGAUAAAGAAGGCAUAAUUAAGAAAAUGAUGUUAUUAUUUUAGGUUUUAGAAACCUGUUCUUUAUCUUGAGCCUCUCGUUCUCCCUCCUUCACCAGUGUUUCUAACCUCUGAAAUAGUUCCUGAGUUCGAAUCGUCCUCCCAUGCCAUCAGUAUGAGCGCCUAUCUGCGAGAACAGAGAAGGGAGCUCUAUAGUCGGAGUGGAGAACUGCAAGG